GGGAAGCAGUACCCUGCUAACAAUAAUUCAACAGGACUUGGAGGAAUAUUUCAGGCCUCUUGGAGCCACUGAAUCACUUUCAUUUGCUUCAUAAUGGAGACGGCUGAUUUCCUACAGCUCCCUGGGUAUGGUGUGGUUGGCCAGGAGCGUGCUGCGAGGCCCUGACAGCAAGACAGUGCUGGACCAAAGCUGCAGGAAGCUGAAAAGUCGGCAAAGCUGCCAAGUUGAGCACAAGCUGAGAGAAGAACUGCAGGCAAAUUCUCUUUUCAACACUUUCAGACACUGUCACAACUUCUC